rnacentral:rRNA from 1 species
AUGACGUCAAGUCAGCAUGGCCCUUACGUCCGGGGCUACACACGUGCUACAAUGGCCGGUACAAAGGGUUGCGAAGCCGUGAGGUGGAGCGAAUCUCAAAAAGCCGGCCUCAGUUCGGAUUGGAGGCUGCAACUCGCCUCCAUGAAGUCGGAAUCGCUAGUAACCGCAGAUCAGCUACGUUGCGGUGAAUACGUUCCCGGGCCUU